GCAGGCGCGUAAAUUACCCACUCCCAGUUCGGGGAGGUAGUGACGAAAAAUAACAAUACAGGACUCAUAUCCGAGGCCCUGUAAUUGGAAUGAGUACACUUUAAAUCCUUUAACAAGGACCUAUUGGAGGGCAAGUCUGGUGCCAGCAGCUGCGGUAAUUCCAGCUCCAAUAGCGUAUAUUAAAGUUGUUGCGGUUAAAACGUUCGUAGUUGAAUUUGUGCUUCAUGCAGGUAGUACAACUAUAAUCGUAGUUUGUACAUUACSUUAUGCAUGCAAGCGUAUUAUCGGUGGAGUUCUAAUAUAUAAUAAUAAUUAAUUAUUAUUAUAUAUACCUCCUAUUUGAAACCUAUUUCAGUGCUCUUUAUCGAG
rnacentral:rRNA from 1 species